rnacentral:rRNA from 1 species
UACCAGCACCCCGAGUGGUCGGGGCGUUUAUUGGGCCUAAAGCAUCCGUAGCCGGUUCUACAAGUCUUCCGUUAAAUCCAGCUGCUUAACAGAUGGGCUGCGGAGGAUACUAUGGAGCUAGGAGGCGGGAGAGGCAAGCGGUACUCGAUGGGUAGGGGUAAAAUCCGUUGAUCCAUUGAAGACCACCAGUGGCGAAGGCGGCUUGCCAGAACGCGCUCGACGGUGAGGGAUGAAAGCUGGGGGAGCAAACCGG